CAAUAGCGUAUAUUUAAGUUGUUGCAGUUAAAAGCUCGUAGUUGGAUUUCGGUUGAGAACGGCCGGUCCGCCGUUUGGUGUGCACUGGCUGGUCUCAACUUCCUGUAGAGGACGCGCUCUGGGUUAACGCUCGGACGCGGAGUCUACGUGGUUACUUUGAAAAAUUAGAGUGUUCAAAGCGGGCUUACGCUUGAAUAUUUCAGCAUGGAAUAACACUAUAGGACUCCUGUCCUAUUUCGUUGGUCUCGGGACGGGAGUAAUGAUUAAGAGGAACAGUUGGGGGGCAUUCGUAUUUCAUUGUCAGAGGUGAAAUUCUCAGACCAAUGGAAGACGAACCACUGCGAAAGCAUUUGCCAGGGAUGUUUUCACUGAUCAAGAACGAAAGUUAGGGGAUCGAAGAUGAUUAGAU
rnacentral:rRNA from 1 species